rnacentral:rRNA from 1 species
CCUACGGGUGGCAGCAGUGGGGAAUAUUGCACAAUGGGGGAAACCCUGAUGCAGCGACGCCGCGUGAGUGAAGAAGUAAUUCGUUACGUAAAGCUCUAUCAGCAGGGAAGAAAUACUGACCUUCCGGUCAGCAGACGGUACCUGAGUAAGAAGCCCCGGCUAACUACGUGCCAGCAGCCGCGGUAAUCCGUAGGGGGCAAGCGUUAUCCGGAUUUCAUGGGUGUAAAGGGAGCGUAGACGGUGCGCCAAGUCUGGAGUGAAAUGCCGCAGCUUAACUGUGGAACUGCUUUGGAAACUGGCGAACUAGAGUGCGGAAGGGGUAAGCGGAAUUCCUAGUGUAGCGGUGAAAUGCGUAGAUAUUAGGAGGAACACCGGUGGCGAAGGCGGCUUACUGGACCGUAACUGACGUUGAGGCUCGAAAGCGUGGGUAGCAAACAGGAUUAGAUACCCCAGUAGUC